UACAGAGGUCUCAAGCGUUGUUCGGAUUCAUUGGGCGUAAAGGGCGCGUAGGCGGCCACCGCAAGUCGACUGUGAAAUCUCCGGGCUUAACCCGGAAAGGUCAGCCGAUACUGCGGGGCUAGAGUGCAGAAGGGGCAACUGGAAUUCUCGGUGUAGCGGUGAAAUGCGUAGAUAUCGAGAGGAACACCUGCGGCGAAGGCGGGUUGCUGGGCUGACACUGACGCUGAAGUGCGAAAGCUAGGGGAGCGAACGGG
rnacentral:rRNA from 1 species